rnacentral:rRNA from 1 species
AUUGAACGCUGGCGGUAUGCUUAACACAUGCAAGUCGAACGAUGAGAAAGAGCUUGCUCUUUCGAUCAGUGGCGGACGGGUGCGUAACGCGUAGGAAUCUACCUAUUAGUGGGGGACAACUUAGGGAAACUUAAGCUAAUACCGCAUACGCCCUACGGGGGAAAGAAGGGGAUCGCAAGACCUUUUGCUAAUAGAUGAGCCUGCGUAGGAUUAGCUAGUUGGUGGGGUAAAAGCUCACCAAGGCGACGAUCCUUAACUGGUUUGAGAGAAUGAUCAGUCACACUGGAACUGAGACACGGUCCAGACUCCUACGGGAGGCAGCAGUGGGGAAUAUUGGACAAUGGGCGAAAGCCUGAUCCAGCAAUACCGCGUGUGUGAAGAAGGCCUUAGGGUUGUAAAGCACUUUCAAUUGGAAGGAAAACCUCGAAGCUAAUACCUUCGAGUUUGACAUUACCUUUAGAAGAAGCACCGGCUAACUCCGUGCCAGCAGCCGCCGUAAAAC